rnacentral:tRNA from 1 species
GGAUUGCUAGCUCAGUUGGAAGAGCAGAGGACUUUUAAUCCUAAGGUCGAGGGUUCGAUCCCCUCGCAAUCCACCA